UUUCCAUGUUGAUGGCUCACCGAACUUGCCAAAUAAUUUCCUCGCUUCUGGGGAUGGAGAAAUUAUCAACCCCCCUGCUGAGGACGGAAGCUCGGAUGUCAUUUUCUUGCAGAAGCCUUUCAAAUACUUUGGACGCACAUACAAUCAGAUCUUCGUGAACAACAACGGCUACCUAACGUUCACCGAGC